AGUGAACGCUGGCGGCAGGCCUAACACAUGCAAGUCGAACGGCAGCACAGUGGUAGCAAUACCAUGGGUGGCGAGUGGCGGACGGGUGAGGAAUACAUCGGAAUCUACCUUUUCGUGGGGGAUAACGUAGGGAAACUUACGCUAAUACCGCAUACGACCUCCGGGUGAAAGCAGGGGACCUUCGGGCCUUGCGCGAUUAGAUGAGCCGAUGUCCGAUUAGCUAGUUGGCGGGGUAAAGGCCCACCAAGGCGACGAUCGGUAGCUGGUCUGAGAGGAUGAUCAGCCACACUGGAACUGAGACACGGUCCAGACUCCUACGGGAGGCAGCAGUGGGGAAUAUUGGACAAUGGGCGCAAGCCUGAUCCAGCCAUGCCGCGUGGGUGAAGAAGGCCUUCGGGUUGUAAAGCCCUUUUGUUGGGAAAGAAAAGCAGUCGGUUAAUACCCGAUUGUUCUGACGGUACCCAAAGAAUAAGCACCGGCUAACUUCGUGCCAGCCGCCGCCGUAAAAC
rnacentral:rRNA from 1 species